CUUUCGCAUGAAAGAAGUUUAAAAAAGGACGGCGUAAAGCUGUCGCUAAAGGAUGGACCUGCGAUGCAUUAGCUUGUUGGUAAGGUAACGGCUUACCAAGGCGAUGAUGCAUAGCCGAGUUGAGAGACUGAUCGGCCACAUUGGGACUGAGACACGGCCCAAACUCCUACGGGAGGCAGCAGUAGGGAAUCUUCCACAAUGGACGCAAGUCUGAUGGAGCAACGCCGCGUGAGUGAAGAAGGUUUUCGGAUCGUAAAGCUCUGUUGUUGGUGAAGAAGGAUAGAGGUAGUAACUGGCCUUUAUUUGACGGUAAUCAACCAGAAAGUCACGGCUAACUACGUGCCAGCAGCCGCGGUAAAU
rnacentral:rRNA from 1 species